AAUGAACGUUGGCGGCGUGGAUUAGGCAUGCAAGUCGUACGGGUCGGUGUAGCAAUACAACGGCAAGUGGCGAAAGGGAGAGUAACACGUAGAUACCUACCCUCUGGUCGGGGAUACCGCGGCAUAACCGCAAGUAAUACCCGAUAAAAUCUCCGGAUCAAAGGUGUGAUUCCGUCGGAGGAGGGGUCUGCGUUCUAUCAGCUUGUUGGUGAGGUAAUGGCUCACCAAGGCUAAGACGGAUACGGGGUGUGAGAGCAUGCCCCCGCUCACUGGGACUGAGACACUGCCCAGACACCUACGGGUGGCUGCAGUCGAGAAUCUUCGGCAAUGGGCGCAAGCCUGACCGAGCGACGCCGCGUGCGGGAUGAAGGCCUUCGGGUUGUAAACCGCUGUCGAGGGGAAUGAAGUGUAGGUGGGUACUCCCAUCUAUUUGACAGAUCCCUGGAGGAAGCAUGGGCUAAGCUCGUGCCAGCAGCCGCCGUAAGAC
rnacentral:rRNA from 1 species